UAGCAAAAAAAUAAUUUAAUGGAGCUCAGGCCAACUGACGGACAAUAAUGCUGAGGGAAAUGGAGAGUUUAGGAGUGUAGGAGAAAGGAGGGUUUUGAAAUCAGGGACACGUCUUCACCUUUUACAUACACCUUCAAACCGAGUUACAUUCUAUUGAUUGAUAGUAUAUGAGAAAUUACUACACCCAUAGUUGAAUCCAGUCCCAAUUGAUACUUAUCGAAUCUGGAUUGGUAUCGAUUGAUCCCAAGUUUUAUAACCUUGAUCGUGAGUCUUUUAACAUUCUAUGGUGAUCUAUUUCACAUUCUAUGUCUAUGAGCAUAGUCCAUGCCGUCUGAUCCUCCGGUCCUGAUUUUCAGAUAUGCCUUGAUUUGCUCUAUUAAUCUGCUAGUCGAAGGCUUGAGGUGGAACACUUGAAAAAAUUGUUUAUACGGACUUUGGUGAUAAUUUAUCUUCUGGUGGUAUAAAUCUAGGGAACAGUGGUUGCUAUUUAAAUCACCUUAUUUUCUGCCUUAAAAGGACUUCAUCACCUCAACUUAUCUUAUAAUGCAUUUGAUGAUUGGAUCCAAAAUGAAGGUAUAUAUUUAUUAUAUACUCAUUCAUGAUCACUCUUUUCGCCUUCCAAAAAAUUUAGUAUUUCUUCCUUUUCUUUCUCUUCUAAAGCCAUGGCUUGACCUGAUGAUGUAUGGAUGGAUGGAUUGUUAUCUUUAGUUUCUUUUUUUUUUUCUUUCCAUCUAGCAUCACAGUUAUGUUGCUGUAUCCCUUCAUUUAUGCCUUUCUUUUCUUAUCAUGGAGUAAGCCAGGUUGGAGUGCCAUGCCACUGUUACCACCAAAUCUCCAGCCCAAUCACUCGAGAGGCCUGGCUCGGUUAGGAUCAGAACAACCGUCGCAAAAAACGUGGUCGGUCAAGGGGAUUAUUGGCUAUACGGACUGUUAUGAAAUUGAAAUUGAUUAAAAAAAAUGGGUAUCCAAUGGAUGGACUUCAGGCUUGAAUUAAAAGAAAGAUAUGAUAAAUCAACCACGAUUGAUGAGUGCUUUGCAAAACGUGAUUUCCGUAUUCCAUUGAAUCAAUGGAAAGACUUUAUAGCUAUGUGGAGUGAUGUCAAGUGUAAGGAAAUUUUUUCACGGAAUAAAGAAAAUAGAAAGAAACAGAAAAUUAGUCACACUGCGGGCCGACAGAGUUUUGCCCAAGUUUAUGAUAAAAAUCUUUAGGAGACUGGUGAGGAAUCAUUUAUAGGUUCAUUUUUUCAAGUUAACACAUGCGAAAAAGAACUUGGAACUGGUUGAUGAUGAAUCAGGAAAAAAAGUGAUAUAUUGUGUUUUUCUAUUCAGUUACUUGUUUCUUGAUCAAUGCUGGUAACUUGCUGGGUUUGCAAUGAUUCGUAGAUAGAGAUGGAAGAGAAGUUAGUAGCGAUGCCAGUAGAAUUAUAAAAAAACACCGACUCAUGAAUCCAUUUGGACAGAAUCAUUUGGUGAGGAAUCCCAUGGCCGAGUGCGCCUUGUUGGAGUUGGGGUAAGCCUAAAAGACAUUGAUUUGUCGAAAAGUAAUGCUGCACUCAUCUAGAAGAACAAGGAGUUGCAAAAUAAAGCGGAGAUGUUAAGAGGAGAAGAUGGAAUUAGUAAAUGGAAAGCUUGAAGAAGAAAGGAAGAAGAAUGAAGAUGUGAUUAGCAAUAUGCAAUCACAAAUUGAAAAACUUACAGAUGGAAUUAGUAAAUGGAAAGCUUGAAAAAGAAAAGUAGAAGUAUGAAGAUGUGAUUAGCAAUAUGCAAUCACAAAUUGAAAAACUUACCCAACUCUUCAUGAUUAGAAACUCACAUGAUUCAGUGAAUCUAGGAAGUAACUAAUGGAGAAUUCAGCUUUUUUAUGAAUUGUAUACAUUUCCUACUGUUGGGUUGACAUGAUUGAGGUGAACUGCUAUUCUUCUAAGGAUUUAUGACGUAGAAAAUGUGGGCACCAUGCAAGCAGGAGAAGAGAGAGAUCUAAGGCAUUUACAAAUCAAAUGUGGUUCACAUUUCACAUGAUGAGAACAAUGUAUCUUACUGCUUUGAGUACAAAGGUUUCACUAUUUUUGUAUUGUUUUUUUUUUUUCUUUUGGCUUAAGCUUUAGAGAGCUGAGUUUGUUGAGCAAUAUUUUGAAAUGAUUCACAAUCAUUUCCUCUUUUGUCAAGACUUCUUGUUUAAUCUUUUUCCUUUUGUUUUUUUAUUUAUUUUUUGUUGGGUGAGUGUGGGAGAAUUAUAAUUGUCUAAAUCUAUGCAAAGAGACAGCAGGCUGGAAGAAUCUUAAGGUGGCCAA